rnacentral:rRNA from 1 species
AACGCGAAGAACCUUACCUACUCUUGACAUCCUCGGAAUCCUCUAGAAAUAGGGGAGUGCCUUCGGGAACCGAGAGACAGGUGCUGCAUGGCUGUCGUCAGCUCGUGUCGUGAGAUGUUGGGUUAAGUCCCGUAACGAGCGCAACCCUCGUCCUUAGUUGCCAGCACGUAAUGGUGGGAACUCUAAGGAGACCGCCGGUGAUAAACCGGAGGAAGGUGGGGAUGAUGUCAAGUCAUCAUGGCCCUUACGAGUAGGGCUACACGCGUGCUACAAUGGACAGUACAAAAGGUUGCCAAGCCGCAAGGUGGAGCUAAUCCCAAAAAGCUGUUCGUAGUCCGGAUUGGAGUCUGCAACUCGACUCCAUGAAGUUGGAAUCGCUAGUAAUCGUGGAUCAGAACGCCACGGUGAAUACGUUCCCGGGCCUUGUACACACCGGACACGC